AUAUAGGGCAAUGUCUUUAAGUAGGGAUAAAUUACUCCUAAAAAAUGAAUUCUCCAUAGUGUUCCCUCCAAGUGUCUUGU
rnacentral:pre_miRNA from 1 species